GCCUCAAGUGAUCCUCCAGCCUCAGCCUCCCAGAGUGUUAGGAUUACAGGUGUGAGCCACCGCGCCCGGCCCCCAGGAGUGUAUGAAACUCUCAAGAAAGGAAUCUGGGAAAAUUAAGUGCUGUCCAUGGGAUUUGACUGGGAGAAGACAACUGGAAGCUUAUGCCUGGUGUCUCCUGGACUCUGCCCUAUGCACCAUCUUUUUCUUUUGCAGAUUUGAAACUAUCCUUUCACUGUAAUAAACUGUAACUGCGAGAACAA